rnacentral:tRNA from 1 species
GCGGGCGUGGCGGAAUGGCAGACGCGGUGGUUUUAGGUGCCACUGGGGCAACCCGUGAAGGUUCAAGUCCUUUCGCCCGCACCA